GACUAACACAGCUUUAAAACCUUGCACAAAAGCAACAUAUAUUGAACCAUAUGGAUAAAUAGGGGCAAAUUGGUCAUUUUGAAAAUUCAUAACUUGUAUCCUCUUUCAGUAGCUAACACGUGUUCUAUUAGCUACUGAAAAACCCAUGAGUGUAUCUCACUCGAUCACAAACAUCAAGAUUUCAUCCCUCUUAAUCCCAAUUUCAACAUCAUCACCCAUUAACCCUUCACUCAAACCCUAAAACACUCUACAUUUAUCGUUGCCACACUGCCCUUCGACGAACCUUCUCCUCCAUAAGACCUCUGCAAUGAUCUUGCUAAGUUAAUUCCUCGGUGAAAAGAUGGAAAACGGCGUUGUAGAAAGUGAGUUUUGAACUUGAAGCAACAUUUUUUUGUUUUGGGUUUUGUAGGAGAGAGUUGAUCAUGACCUUUUCUAUUUGGAGUUGAAAAGCAAAGAGGAGAUCGUUUUCGGCGGCUUUAGCAGUAAUUUCACGGCGCUAUUCGUCCAGUAGGGCGGGUAGAUCGUCCUUAACUUUCAUUUUCUCUUUGGAGGUUUUAGGAACUGUUAAAAUGGAUAUGAGUUAUUCACCUUCUGCAGGUUUACUCUAUAUUGGAGACUCUCAAGAAUAUGGGAAAGAGUAUUAAAUAAGUCUUGGAGUGAUUUUGGUUAGCUUUUACAGUUUGAAAAAAUGAUAAAAUACUCAUACAUUCUCUGGAGUUUUUGUCGAUAUUUAUUUUUGAACUAUGAUUUUCUGUUGGAUAUUCUAAAUGCAUGUUUUGUUGGUCCAUGAUUUUCACACCGACGCACAUGUGAUGUUUGACAAUAUGUCUGAAAUAAUUGAUUCUUUAGCAAUCCCUUAGUCCAAGAAAAAAUUAACUCCAACAAUGUUCAUCUCUUGAGAUUUUGUUAAGUAAUCUUAUUUUUGGAUAUUUUUCCAUUUUCAUUAGAAUUUUUUGUCUAUACUUUAUCAAUUUUUGAUUUAUCAGAGAUUUGUCUGCUUCUGUUUCAUUGUGUGUAAUUUUUCUGUAAUGUUUUCUUUCUGUUGCAGAGAUCUCAAUUCAUCACUUCUGGCAGGAACUCUCGAGAAUUUAGUUCUCUAGAAUGAUAUUAAGUUUUGUCCUUUGUAUAAGUCCAUUGUCAAUUUAUAGGUCAUCUAUAUAUGCAUUGUGCCUUUAUGCAAAGUGGUGGCCGAGAAUGAUUCUCUUGGUUUCAAGUUUUUUUUGUGGUACUAUUAUUUAUUUUCCAUGAAAUUGGGUCUGAAAUAUGGUUUCGUCUUAAUUCAUUUAAGGAAUGUCUGUUUUAUGACCGGAUCAGCGUUAAACUCAAAAACUAUUUCCUUUCUUUUAUACAGUUACCAAAUGUUAGUAUUUGAUUAAUUCUGCCGCAUUGUCAUGGUUGAAGGGACAUUCUGAGAAUACAAGUAUGUGAAAGUGCAAUUUCCAUUUUAUCAUGGCAGGCUGCAACUCGCCUGCAUGCAGCCGAAAAGUUGAUGCUUUUAUUUAGCUGUCUGUACCAAUAACCGACCUGUGAACACCCCUACCCACAAGAACCAUAUCCUACUAUUUCUAGCAUAUUGGUAGUUACUGAAGUUCAAAUAUCACCUCCUUCUGGUUGUAACUAUUGUCUGACGAUGGAACUACUUUGUGUAUUAUCUCAUACACCUUGUUGGUUAUUUCUUCAUGUAUAGUGAUUACUUCUCCAACGGAGUUCUGGGAGAAUGUAUACAAGCUAUCUUAUAGUUCCUUUCUUUGUUCAAUGAUGUUAAAUAUGGUACUGGACUGACUGCUUUGCUUUGAGUUUAGAAAAUGGAACUUAAAAUCUAAAUCCUCGAGGGAGGUCGCUCAUGUAGUAGAGCCUGCUGCCUCUAAUCAUUUAGGUGGGAGUUCAAAUCAGCAAACAAGGAAUGAGAAAGACCACUUUUGCCUUGAGGUGGAGUGUGGGUGAAUUGUCGAAGUCCGUAGGGGGCGUUUGGCCAUGCGAAUUGUUAGUACUUGAGAAAAGCAGUUUCUGUUUCCAAAGGAAAAAAGUGAUAUUUGAAAAUUGGAGUAGUAUUUGGCCAUGAAUACCAGUUAAAGCUGUUUUUGAAUUUUUGCAAGUAACUUGGAGUGAAAAAAGUGAAAAAAAAAUUAUGGUGUUUCUGAAAUUCCUGAAAAAGUCAACAAUUGAAUUCGGAGUUUUCGAGAAUUUUAUGGCCAAAUGCCCCCUGAAUCCCCAAAAGAGAUCAUUUCAAAGGAGAUAUGUUACUCCCUUUGUUCAUUUUUAUGUAGCAUUAUAACCAUUUGCGGUGUCAAUGAUAUUUUCCUCUUCAUGAUGUCAUCUUUAUUUUUCUUCUCAUGUUCCAGAAGAGCAAUGACGAAGAUCAUAUUUUUCGGGCCUUUCUACAUGCCGCCCUUUUUUCUGUUGUUGCUUUUACUUCUUUCGGAGUUGUCUGUUUCAAGCCUCAUUUGUUUGUCAUGUUAGAUAUGUGAGUAUUUUUGUUCUGCACAUAAUUGAAGUUUUAUUUAUUUGUUGCAGUGUUUGGGUUGCAAGACGACCUCCAGGUUAUGCAUUCAUUGAGUUCGAUGAUCGUAGGGAUGCUCUAGAUGUUGUUGGCGAUCUAGAUUAUAUAAAUUGAAUAGUGUGCAUCAUAUAUCAUUAGCUGGAUGGUUUGUUGAUUAUAGCUAACCUUUUUUAAGUGAUAGUGAUGUACAAGUUCGGGUUGUCAGCAUAAGCUUCCAUUUUACUUUAGUCAAUUACUUGAAAAAUGCUGGAAAGUUGUCCAAAGCGCAUGAAGUAAUAAGACAUAUGGUGGAUAAAGGACAGUAUAUCAAUCUUUUUCCAAAGUUCAAAAGAUAUAGAAGAUGCUAAAGAGGCUAAACCACUUUUUAUGUAUAAAUGCUGUCAACAUCAUGCAUUAGUUCUGUGCUUAUUCCUCCAUGUUCUGAAGUUGAAUAAGCUUACCAUAAAACCAGGUAGUAUUGCUGCUGUUGGUGCUUGCAAUUUGACUGGUGUCAUAAGUUCGCAGGUCCACCUCUCGACCACAUGCCCCAAAAAAGCAGCGACCUAGGGAAAAGGUCUUAGAAAAUCUACAUCAAAACGAAAUAAUGAAACUAUAAAGCUACGUGACCUCAGCGACGAUGAAGUGAAAAGCCAUUUGCCGUUUCUCUUUUCAUACAGGUAUCAUAGAAUUCUUUAUCAAUUCUGUCGAUUCACAGUUUCUGAUAUACAUGGUGCUUGAUAUUUUGACAUACAGAUGGAAUGCUACUUAAAUUGCAGAUGUACAUUCAUCAUGUAUAAUGACUCUCAAGCUGACACAUGGGUUUUAUCAUGAGAAUGGAUUGCUUUAUUUUUAGUAGUAAGAACUUGAGAAAGUAAGGCCCAUUUUAUAGAUUAUCUGAGGAUUACGUGGCAGGUUUGAGUUGCUAACUAUGGUGAAGAAGAAAUCUGACAUGUUAGUGAAAGCCAAUAAUAAGGAGGUUGAAAUUGCUUCAGAUGUUGAAAUGGAUCCCGGCUUCUGGCGUGACACCAUGGACUUGUAUUUUAUUCAGGACAAGGAGUCCAGGGGGCUUCAGCAAGAUAAUCUUAUAUUCUUUGUUAACAAAAUAGUACAGCUAUUUCCAUCUUUCACUUUGUUGUCUGGCUAUUAAUUUGUAAGUUGUUGGAAUACUUUGUGGUGCAGGGUAUGCAGGGACAUGGAUCAAAUGCAGGUAAAGAAGUUAACACUUGCAACAAGAAGAAUGAUGAAAAACAUAGCAACACCUACAAGUUUAGAUAGUUGUUGGAAGAGCACCAUUCUCAUGUAGAGACAUAUUAUACGAAAUUGUAUGUACAGAUGCGUGGGGAUGUAUCAAAAGUUGAAUGGUGAAGGUUUCUUUGCAACAACCUUAGCUGCCCAAAAUAGAUUUUCAAGCUAUACAUUGCUUUGCUAGAAUGAAUGCUUACAAAGAAUCGUCUAAUGUAGUGGGGAACUGUUGACUCAGCUAAAUGUGUACUGUGCAAUUACACGAUGGAGAGUCAUAAUCACUUAUUUUUUGUGUGCACAUACUCCUCAAGGAUAUGAAACAAGAUGCUGCAAUGGUUGGGGAUUACACGAUUUGCCAAAGAUUGGAUAAAAGAAAUGGAAUGGGCAAUCAUCAACAGAAGUGGAAAAAUGUGAAAGCUGAUUUCUACAUAUUGUGUCUAGCAUAUACCAUCUAUCAUAUUUGGUUAGAACGAAACACUAGUGUGUUUUAGAAAGAACAGAGGGAGAAAAGACACACAGUUAGGUAGAUCAUCCAGAAAGUAUAUGUACGGGGCUCUAUGAAGCAAAAACUGGUUGAGCAGAUCGAUUUGAUGAACUACUAUUAUAAUAACUCAAACUUCUAAACCAAGAUAUGAAUCUUUCUUUAAAUA